rnacentral:lncRNA from 1 species
GGCCAGUUUGGGAUGAUCAGCAGAGUUUGACCUGGGCAUCUGACCUGGAUCUUGUUUGCCAUAUCCUCAACAGAAAGGUCUGGAGUUCAGAAAUUUUCAGAGCUGAAAUUGGGGUUCAUAUAUUAUCAGUGCCAAUUAUAGAUUUCCAAGAUUAUUAGCCAAAUAUGGAGUUGAGAGACCAUUAGCAAAUAUGGGUUUCAGAGGUUAUCUGGCCAGGAUAUAGGUCAGGCUUUAUUGGUAACCAGUUCUUUAUCAGAACUGUUAGCUUCUCAACAGAAACCCUGGUCCUCUGUGCCUGGAAUUUUAUAUUCUGUUUCUUUACAAAUAAGUCUUUAUAGAGUGAUGUCUAUUUUAUAUAUUUUUAAUACCUAAAUUUCACAAUCUGAUUUUUUUUUCUACAGUAGUUAUUCUGGGGCCAGAUGGGAGGCUCAUUGGAUUGAGAGCCAGGCCCAGAAAUAGGAGGUCCUGGGUUCAAAUUUGGCCUCAGACAUUUCCUAGCUGUGUGACCUUGGGCAAGUCCCUUAACCCCAAUUGCUUAGCCCUUACUGCUCUUUUGCCUUAGAACCAAUACACAGAAUUGAUUUUAAGGUUGAAUAUAAGGAUUUUUAAAAUGUGGUUUUAAAUGGCUGAUUGAAUUUAGUACAUAACAUGUUUGUCUUCUCAUUCAAAAUGUAAGCUCUUCUGAGUACAGAUUGUCCCAUUCUUUGUACUCACAUCUUUCACACCUGUCACUGUGGCUGGCACAUAAAAAACACUUCAUAAAUACUGACUGAUUUUUAAAUAUUUUGGGGUUUGCUUAUGUAAUGGUUAAAAAGGGUCACCAAAUUAUAAUAAUUAAAAUUAAAUUAUGAGUCUGUUAGUAGCUUUAACAAUUUAGUUUAAUCAAAGUAGAGAUAGUAAAGAGAGGGAAAUAUAGGAAAGAGGUAGAGAGCAGUUUAGCUAAAUACCCUAAUUGUGUUCUGAUGGAAUGAAGUUCACCUCCAACAAAGUUCCUAUUCUCCAGCUAGAAGUCCAUGAGAGUCUCUUCAGCAAGAGUCCCCAGAGUAAGCAUCUCUUCUACAAGAGUCACCAGUGCAGUAGUGUCUCCAAUGGUGACCAAUGUUGCCAACCAGUUCAUUUGAAAAUUUGCCAUCUGAAAGAGUAG